GACAGAGGCGGCGAGCGUUAUCCGGAUUCACUGGGCGUAAAGGGUGCGUAGGCGGCCGUGCAUGGCGUCGGUGAAAGCCCCGUGCUCAACGGGGAGAGGGCCGACGAAACUGCGCGGCUGGAGGGCCGGAGAGGGAGGCGGAACUUCCAGAGUAGCGGUGAAAUGCGUAGAUACUGGGAGGUACAUCAAUAGCGAAGGCGGCCUCCUGGACGGUUCCUGACGCUGAGGCACGAAAGCGUGGGGAGCAAACCGG
rnacentral:rRNA from 1 species